CCUUGAUUGCGGAGCAUAAAGAACCUCUGCCGGUUGAAAAUAAACCUAAUCACCAGGUUGGUGAGCAGGUUGCGUGGAUAGUGGAUGACUCUGAUUCCGAUGAUUCAAUUAUAGAUAGUGAUGGGAUGGUAUUGGAUGAAUACACGCUUUUUUAACUGGGCACGAGGACAAUACAAAUUUGGAACUUGAUGAUGACCAGGCUUCUCUGCAAUUCACUGCAAGAGAAUUAGAUGAAGAAACUGAAGUUGAUACUGUCAUGAUGGAAGGUGAAAACCUAAAAAGGGAGCAGAUAGAAGAAGAGAUUAAAAAAAUUCAGGAAGCCCAUGCUGAAAAUAAAGGUGCUUUUUUCUCUUUUCUAUAAGUGG